CAAGCGCAUCAUCAGAAAUUCGGGCCCGAUGUGCUCAGUGCCUCAGUGGAGGAGAAGGAGGAGGUGCUCGUGGAGGAGUGGAAGACGUGCGUGUUCGCCAUCACCUUGGGCAUGCCGGUUGCCCUGCUGCUGCUGGUCAACAUGUGCUGGAGGGCCAUUACCGCCGCCCUCGCGCUCGUCCUCCUCGACUUCAAGAAUGUCCGAUCAUGCCUCGAGAACAUAACUAACCAAUUGCUUCUGCUUCAGGUCUCAUACCCACUGCUGCGGGGUGUUCAUCACCGUCGAUGGCUUCAGUAAGACCAGCACUCCCAGCACAUUCUGGGAGUUCAUGCCUUCAUGGAGCCCUAUGCGCGCAUCAACACGCUGACCGGGUAGUCAUCCUUUUGUUGGGGAUCCUUUUCCUCUCUAGCGUGGCGUCGGAUAUCCCUACUGUCCUACUACUCGGUGCGCGGGUGGCAGCCUCGGCAGUGCGAUCUCCCCCCAGAGUGGAGACCAACAUGUGGCUGCUCCUGGCCUGGGUGAGCUCGGUGGCUGGCAGCCUCUCACUUCUGGGCUCGGCGGCCAACCUAAUCCCGGGUCGAGGUAAUUUGCAACUGCCCUUCUCUUGUGUUAUUGCUGAAAACUUGUGCAUGUUUUAAGAUCACCCUGUUUCGAUUGCUGAAUAUUAUUACUUUGAAUCCAACAAUUCAUGUUUCGAUUUUUUUCUAUGGGGAAAUGAAACACUAUUUAAUUUGGGGCUGGGUCCUACAGAUACCAUUCAUGUAGGAUUAAGAGUUUCCACUUCUACAAUUUUUCAUACUGAUUCCUACAUUUUUGGAUCUUACAAAUUGAGUAUGUCCUCAGUAGAAGAAAAUAAACACUACAUGACCUAUUUAGAAAUAUGUCUAAUGGUUCCUCUUAGUUUUUGACUACCUCUCACGCACAUAUAUAUCCCUCUACCAAAGCAGACAGUGUGUCCAGGUCACAAGGGCAAUAUAGAAACUUUAGUUAAUUAUGUUUAGAAGCGAGAUCAUCGAUGGAAGAUCCUUGUGUGCAUCAUGGGCAUCUAGGAAUAUAAAGAUUUAGAAAUCUGUAUGAACUGGAUUUCAUCAUGGUCGACCGCGAGGUGCAGUACCGAACACACAUUUUCAUACUACAUGUGUAGUUAACACUUAUUGUUGCACAACAUUGGGUAUUGAUUUAUUUUUGCUGAAACCUAAGAUAUAACUCCCACAGAGUUCAUUAAUUACCAGACAAUGAGCUAUUGGUUAGCUUAUUUGUUUCCUCCAAACAAUGUGUUGAUUUUUUCCUCCCAAUCAUUGCAUUUUCAUGGCUUGGUCUAUGAGGCGUCCGCUGCAGGCAUGUGUCCAUUGAGUACAUUUAUAUUGUUCAAUGGCUGUGGUUUUUUGGGCAAACUUUCACUAACGCAGCAGAAGUUAAGGUCUGCCCCAGCUUCCAUGACCUGCAAGCUCCGCCCACUAAUUAUCAGCUAUCUGCAGAAUUCAACAAGGCAGAGAAUCAGAGAGAAAAUGAUGGUUGUUGAAUGUACAAUUGAUUGGCCUUGAAGCUCUGUGGAGCAGUGCCAACCCCUCAUGGUUUUGUUUUUGGAACGAAGCACGCUGCAGAUUAGGAAGUCCCACUCUUUUUUAGGCCAGCAGUGAUUGCAUAGAACUUUUCUCUGAGAAACCCAAGCAAACUUCCCUUAGUUUGUGCCUCUUGGUUUUCCUUUUUUUUUUGUGACCUACAACUGAACUAGAGGACUUGAAUUGGGUCAGAGGUAGAGCAUGAAGGUGAUGUUACAGAAGUUGGAUGAACACGAUAAGGUUAAGUCCCAUGCUUAAUUUAGCUUCCUUUUCUUGGUAGCAUGGUCGAGUGUUAUCACAUUAUCCACCAAAAUUUGAUCUUUGAGUUUUAUAAUCUUUUGAUCAUACAAAGUGCAAUUAGAUUCAUGUAAUGUAAAAAGUGGAAAGAGAUACAAAUUUGUUUCUACAUUGGAUAUCCUAUUUGGGCUGGUCUUUUAGGUUGAAUUUAUUUCAUAAGUACUAAA